GUAGAGAAAAGCUUGCUUUUCUUGAGAGCGGCGGACGGGUGAGUAAUGCCUAGGAAUCUGCCUGGUAGUGGGGGAUAACGUCCGGAAACGGACGCUAAUACCGCAUACGUCCUACGGGAGAAAGCAGGGGACCUUCGGGCCUUGCGCUAUCAGAUGAGCCUAGGUCGGAUUAGCUAGUUGGUGAGGUAAUGGCUCACCAAGGCGACGAUCCGUAACUGGUCUGAGAGGAUGAUCAGUCACACUGGAACUGAGACACGGUCCAGACUCCUACGGGAGGCAGCAGUGGGGAAUAUUGGACAAUGGGCGAAAGCCUGAUCCAGCCAUGCCGCGUGUGUGAAGAAGGUCUUCGGAUUGUAAAGCACUUUAAGUUGGGAGGAAGGGUUGUAGAUUAAUACUCUGCAAUUUUGACGUUACCGACAGAAUAAGCACCGGCUAACUCUGUGCCAGCAGCCGCGGUAAUACAGAGGGUGCAAGCGUUAAUCGGAAUUACUGGGCGUAAAGCGCGCGUAGGUGGUUUGUUAAGUUGGAUGUGAAAGCCCCGGGCUCAACCUGGGAACUGCAUUCAAAACUGACAAGCUAGAGUAUGGUAGAGGGUGGUGGAAUUUCCUGUGUAGCGGUGAAAUGCGUAGAUAUAGGAAGGAACACCAGUGGCGAAGGCGACCACCUGGACUGAUACUGACACUGAGGUGCGA
rnacentral:rRNA from 1 species